AUACGACGAUAUCACGACGAAUCCCCGGUUCACGACCGAUCAACGAAGUUAAACAAUGUCGAUCCUGGUUAGUACUCUGAUGGGUGACCGCUUCCGAAUACAAGGUGUUGAAA